UUCUACACGUGAGCUAGGAGACACGAGUAUGAAUGGACAAUUACCAAACUACCCCAUAUACACCAUUGCUCAAAUGUCUGCGUAUUUGCUGGGCUUCUAUUCCUGCCUUAACAACACUAAGUAGACAACGACCAAGAACCAGAGAGGUACCAGAAGACUACCCAAAUCAAACGACCGAUCCAAGCCUUGCACGCUUCCUCAACACCUCGACCAUCCUUUAUGUGUAGCAUUCUGCCGUGUUUGCAUCUCUGGUACGCAUAACUCGAUUUAUUUUGGGGUUUUCCUCUCCUUGCACGAGAUAUCAAUUGUUUCUUGUGUGUAUGUUCAAAUUUCGUCGAUUUUUGUGUUCGAUCAGUGGUAAAAUGCUUUUGUUGGUGUCAAUGGAGGUUUAAACCUGAAUGUCUCUGUACAGAAUGUCUCCAUGAACUCAACGAAGUACAUCAACUUGCACCAUUUCUGUUUUGUUUUGUUUUUUUUUUUCUUUUUUUUUAUUGUCUCUUGUUUUUGUAAUCUGUUACACAAUUUUUUUUUUUUUUUUUUGUAACUCCCUCCAAAUGGUUGCUUCCACAUAUAUAAAGUAGUUUCAUAUUUUUUGUAGUCAUGUUCGUUUUGGUUGUUGAUGAACUGAACAGAGCAAUGUCACUUGAUUUUUUUGUUAUUUUGUCAUUUUUUCUCUUCAAAGUGUUAGCACUAUAUAUAUAUAUAUAUAUUUAACUCAACGGACCUCAAAUUGCCCAUACAAUGGUUGCUUCCAAAUUGAGGUUGGAUAAGCAUUUUGUGAAACACAAAACCAAUACAUAAAUCAAUUGCUCUGCUUUUCCAAUAGUUUUGGUGCCUAAUGUAGUAGAAACACAAUAGAGAUCAUUUGAACUUUUUACUUUCUUUUUAAUUUUUGGCUUUUAAAUCUGUUACCAAAAAAUAUUGUUUUCGUAUUUUUUUUUCUUUAUUUUUUUUUGUCCCUUCUUUUUUUGAUCUGUUACACAAUUUAGUUUUUAACUCACUGCAAAUGGUUGAUUCCAAAUUUAUGAACUAGUUUCAUUCUAGUUGUGUUUCAUUUUAAUUUGAUACCAAUAUUGUAAUUGUUUUUCCAUGUGCCUAGUGGUUUAGCUAUAACAAAACAGAGCAGUUGAACUGUUUAAGUUGUUUUUUAAAUGUUGUCUGUUAAAUCUGUUACCAAGUUUCCUUUUCUUUGGGACCUAGGAGUUUUUGUUGUCGUAUGCUUAUUCGCCAACCAAUAGUUCAGAAGAAAAAAUAAGAAGAAAGGGAAAUAGAUCUGUAAGGUUCAUACCAUUUGGAAUACAAAAUGUGUGACUACAAAAUAGAAUAACUACUUUCAUCCUCAGAACCUCAUUACUCAACUGGAACUAGGAAUACAAGCAACUAUGGAACUUGUUAAAAUUAAAAAUUGUUGCUUAGCUAGAACUGUGGAUAUGUUGUUUGUAUAAUUGUUUGUAUAACUAUCUCAAGGAAAAAGAUUGUGAAUUGUGAAGAAGGCAAACACAAAAUCUUUUACUGAACAUUUUCCAUGUGAGAGAAAAUGGAUCAAACAUCUAUACGUAGGAUAAAAUGGAUUGACGUCCACAUAGAUGUUAUUCAUAAUCAAUGUCCAAUAUCUUUUCUUGAGUGUCACAGUAUGUAGGUUUCCAUGAAGUACCUGACAUAUAUUUAUGACUUGUUAGUGUCUUGAGUUCCUUAAGUUCAAGAUGAAGUCAAAUCCUAUGUGUAUGUGUGUGUGUAUGCAUUUCUAGGUAUGUAUUUAUGCAUUUUCAUACUAAAACAGUAAUGGUAAAACAUGAUGUUACUUUAAGUGGAGAGGGUUUAUGCUAAGAUCUCCACACAUUCCAUCCAUGUUUCUGAACAAGAGUUUUACUAACAUGUUUACAACAAAUCCUGUAGUACACAACCAUCUCAUUACCACACAUUUGAUAUAUGUCAAACACACACGCAUGCCUUACACCUUGUCUUCUUCUGCUAUUCAUCUAUGGUACAAAACAAAGCAUGGCUUCUUUCAUGUCAACUAGCACAUCUACUACAUGGCCACGUCGUACGUGUGCCUAUGGCUACGGUCAAUGUCUUGUCAAGAUUUCCAGAUCUCAUAAAAAUCCAGGAUGGGCUUACUACACGUGUCCAAAUCCUGCGGUGAGUACACCCUUUAUUUUCGGUGACAUAUUUCAAUUCAUUUAGUAAAUUUAACUAAUACCUUUGUACAUAAAUUUUGUCAGCCAUGUUUAAGUUGGAUUGGUUGGUGCGACGAACCUAGGAGACCGAACACCGACUCUAACUUAGCUACACACGACAUUGUCAUGCACUUGCAGGAUGAUGUCAUUUGCAUUCAACAAACGUUGCGUCUCUUGAAAACCAUUGUUUAUGUGUUGUGCAUUAUCGUUGUAAUCUUACUGUUGCAUAUGUGAAAAUAUUCCUAGUGUCUUGUUAGACCCUAACGAAGCUACUAUUGUAAUGACUUAUCUUUAUUGUGGACUUGAUAACAAUAGCUUUGUCAAUGACUUGUACGGGAAUGGUGGGUUGGAUGUACAUAAUUGUUUCUUUUCACUAUCUCUAAAAAAAAUUUGAUAGAAUGUCAUAAUCGCUAUCAUAUGUUAUUGCGCCAAUUCGUUUGGGUGAGUAAUACGCAUACAUGUAUAAGGUACUUAUACUUUAAUUUAUCAAUUGCACUAUCUUUAUGGCUUCGACAUGAACUUCACUACGUACCCUUUCCAAAAAUAAAGGGGUGGCAAGGGCCUGAGCAAUCGUUAUAGAAGACAGCCAAAAUGUUCACAAAACUGUGUGGGAUUUUGAAUCCACAAGGCUUUUCCUACAACAUAUUGUCAAUGAGAUUCUUCAGGGCAACUGGCCAUUCAUGGUUUUGAGCAGCGCUGUGUACAAGUCGUUGGCAAAGAAAUUUGAAAAAAAAAAAAAAACUGGCAGAAAACAUGAUGUAAAACAAUUGAAGAACAAGUACGCAUUCAUGAAACGAGAUUCGACUAUGUGGAUGAAGUUGAUGGACUGUACCAAAGGAAUAAUCAGGAUUGGGUUUGAUGUAGAAACAAACAUGUUUCAGGCUUCCGAUAAAAGAUAAACAAGAGUUGUGCAAAGUUCAGGAAUAAAACUUUGGAGCACCGGGAGUUGAUGAAGAUUGUCUUCACAGGGGCUGCAAUUGGCAAACAUCAUUGGACACCGGGGGAGAGGACUGUCGAAGAUGACGAAGGAUCUUUUGAUUCAGUUCAAAGCCUUGGUAUGCGGGCAUUUGCUGAUCCAAUCCCUUCAUUGGUAUUGACGUCGAUGUUGAGUCGUCAAUGGAAGGUGUUGAACCUCGGGUUGACACUAGGGCAAAAAGGAAAAGGAAUACUCCCACAAGUUUAGGAAAGUCACAGAAGCUGACUAGUGGAGCAUCUGCUAUAGUUGACAGCGUGAACAAUCUAACCAAUGUCGUCCGGAGUCAAAACCAACAACUUACUGUUAGGUACUUAAUUGGUAAUGAGUCGUUGUACACAAUUUCAAAGUGCACGGAGAGGCUGAAAUCCAUUCCUGCCUUAGUGGGUACAUCUUUGUUCCACUUUGCAUCGUCUUUUAUGGACAACACUGAUUACAAAGAGGUUACGAUGUGCCAUCUCGAUGAUGACCAUAUUAUCGAGUGGCUUACACAAAAGCAACUACAAAGCUAUGCUGCAACUCCAUUUGCAAACCUUUUUGGUACACGACAGGUUUGAUGGCUACUGGGAAGGGCCACGGGGUUGGGUGGCUGCUAGGAACUGAUAGGAACUUCUCAUUUUUAUGUGUUGAUGUUUUCAUGGGAACUUAUUAUAGUGUUAGAUUUUUAGGACAUAAUUAGGUUUUUAUUUUUCUUGUUUUUGUUUUUGUUUUUGUUUUUUUUGUUUUUGGGUUUGAUGGGCUGGCUUCACUUGGAUGGAUGGUUUGUGGAACAAUAUGACCAGUUUGUGUCUUGUUUAUUGUUUUGUUUUUGUU